rnacentral:rRNA from 1 species
GCUUAGCCGUAAAAUUUGACAGUAAGAUACAACUGCUGUCCGCCAGGGGACUACAAGCGCCAGCUUAAAACCCAAAGGACUUGGCGGUGCCUCAGACCCACCUAGAGGAGCCUGUUCUAGAACCGAUAACCCCCGUUCAACCUCACCUCCCCUUGCCAUUCCCGCCUAUAUACCGCCGUCGUCAGCAUACCCUGUGAAGGGAAUAUAGUAUGCAAAAUGGGUAAAACCCAAAACGUCAGGUCGAGGUGUAGCGUAUGGGGAGGGAAGAAAUGGGCUACAUUCUCUAAUUUAGAGCAUCACGGAGGGGGCUGUGAAACCAGUCCCUGAAGGUGGAUUUAGCAGUAGGCGGGAACAAGAGCGUCCUGUCGAAACUGGCUCUGAGGCGCGC